GCUAAGCCGACGCCGGCCGGUGCUCACAAUAGCGUUGAUAAUAUGUUUUCUUUUGUAUCUGAUCUCCAACAUGACGACAUUAAACCUCCAGGGGCGCCUUCCUUUUUGCACAAACAAACAACAGGUUCAUCUUCUGGAAUAUUCGAUGUGAGAGAACGAUCCAACGAAAGCAGGCCUCGCAAAAUUAUUGGUUAAUGUUGGCAAUAUAUUUCAGCAGAAAUGGCUGGAGUAUCUGCCUCAAACAUUCUGUUGAAAAAAUCAUCAGAUAAAAACAGGAGAAGUUUACCAUUUUGCAGUACACUAAGACCUAAAUGAAUGAAUUAUGGUACAUUAAUUAUCAACGAAGAUGGUGCUUUUUUGUGCAUCGAGAAUAUUCCUGUGUCGCUUGGUAAAAAGCAAAAAAAAAACUACCUUGUAACAAUAUCAAUAAGAGUAUGUCAAAACUAAUUAAUUGUAGAAACGCAGACAAAGUACCUUUCACUGCUUUAUCAACAUGGUUUGGAUAUCUUACCAUAUAAUACAUACAAUUUUAUAAACUUAA